ACUUUCCUCUGGAAGGUGGCUUGGCUUCCUCUGGUUACAGGUUCCACCCAGUGUGGAUGCAACCCUCCUCCUGGCUGCCUGCAAAGGAGACUCUCUUGCUGCUGCCUUGGGAUCAAGAUGGAGAACUCAGCUCCUUCACCAGCAUGAUGUCUGCCCGGAUGCUGCCAUGUUGAUGAUGGACUGAACCUCUGAAACUACUGGCUCACUUACCGUGCAUUGUGGCUGCAUCCAGGGCUCUCCGUCUACUUGCAUCGGCAGAAGCUUGUUAGUCCUAGAACCCCCAAACCAAAGAAACCACAGUGAGAUCCUCAGCGCUGGAGAACCAUCAUCACUCCCACCACAGAGGAAGAAGUGGGCAGACAUCACUUGCUCACUUAGAGGGGUUCACAGAGACUAUGGGAACUUCUAAAAAUAUAAUCUUUAACCCAUCUCAGGAACUGGACGUGGCUGGUCUGGGGCCAGGCCUAGCGACCUAUGCAUUCAUAGUUACCAUAGGCAUUUAUUUCUCUGGCUUCCGUCUUCAGACCUCACUUUGAGAAACUGCUGUGGGCAUACUGAGAGCCACAACCACCUGGAAAACUGGCCAGUAAACAUGGCAGCCCCACUGCUGAGCAGUCCCCCGAAGCCCAGAGACUAGCCAGAGGGAAAGCCCUCAUGCUGAGCUCCACUCUGGAGUAAGAAAAGACCUACCCUCCCCCAUUGAAUGAGUGGUCGAAACAUAUCUAAGUGUUAAUGUCUCUAAGCUAUAGAAGAUACCAUCAUAGGCACUCAACUCCCAGAAGCAGGCUACUCUGGGUUUGUAUGCACUGUGCUUUACUUGGAAAGUGACAUAGGAAUAGUGACUCCAAGUGUAAAGGGAGAGGUUGAGGGGAAAAUGUUGCUCUCUUGCUUGGGAAAGGCUCCUCUGGCAUGUGGGCUCUGUAGAACUUGUCUUUCGAUGCCCUGUAAGGAGGGCAGUCCUUUAGAGGCCUCUGGUCAAGGGCAUGUGAAUAGUCACCAGCUACCGGACAGGAAGCCUUUACCUGAGUUUGAUAGCUUCCCUAUUUUGAAAAUUACAAAACAAGAGGGGAAGGCACUAUUUCAAUACAAUAAUUCUCUGGUGAACUCUGACUAUAUUUCAUAAUAAAAGCAAGACAUUUAAUAAUAAAACCAAAAAUGAGC